UAGCCCGAGUUGAGAGACUGAUCGGCCACAUUGGGACUGAGACACGGCCCAAAAACUCCUACGGGGAGGCAGCAGUAGGGAAUCUUCCACAAUGGACGCAAGUCUGAUGGAGCAACGCCGCGUGAGUGAAGUAAGGUUUUCGGAUCGUAAAGCUCUGUUGUUGGUGAAGAAGGAUAGAGGUAGUAACUGGCCUUUAUUUGACGGUAAUCAACCAGAAAGUCACGGCUAACUACGUGCCCAGCAGCCGCGGGUAAU
rnacentral:rRNA from 1 species